UACGGGAGGCAGCAGGGGGGAAUAUUGCACAAUGGGCGCAAGCCUGAUGCAGCCAUGCCGCGUGUAUGAAAAAGGCCUUCGGGUUGUAAAGUACUUUCAGUCGUGAGGAAGGUGUUAAGGUUAAUAACCUUAGCAAUUGACGUUAGCGACAGAAGAAGCACCGGCUAACUCCGUGCCAGCAGCCGCGGUAAUACGGAGGGUGCGAGCGUUAAUCGGAAUUACUGGGCGUAAAGGGCACGCAGGCGGUUAAUUAAGUUGGAUGUGAAAUCCCCGGGCUUAACCUGGGAAUGGCAUUCAAGACUGGUUAGCUAGAGUCUUGUAGAGGGGGUAGAAUUCCAUGUGUAGCGGUGAAAUGCGUAGAGAUGUGGAGGAAUACCGGUGGCGAAGGCGGCCCCGUGGACAAAGACUGACGCUCAUGUGCGAAAGCGUGGGGAGCAAACAGGGAUUAGAUACC
rnacentral:rRNA from 1 species